GGAGGAUCCGAGCGUUAUCCGGAUUUAUUGGGUUUAAAGGGUGCGUAGGCGGCACUUUAAGUCAGGGGUGAAAGACGGCAGCUCAACUGUCGCAGUGCCCUUGAUACUGAAGUGCUUGAAUGCGGUUGGAGACGGCGGAAUGAGACAAGUAGCGGUGAAAUGCAUAGAUAUGUCUCAGAACACCGAUUGCGAAGGCAGCUGUCUAAGCCGUUAUUGACGCUGAUGCACGAAAGCGUGGGGAUCGAACAGGAUUAGAUACCCUGGUAGUCCACGCCCUAAACGAUGAUGACUCGAUGUUUGCGAUAUACCGUAAGCGUCCAAGCGAAAGCGUUAAGUCAUCCACCUGGGGAGUACGCCCGCAAGGGUGAAACUCAAAGGAAUUGACGGGGGCCCGCACAAGCGGAGGAGCAUGUGGUUUAAUUCGAUGAUACGCGAGGAACCUUACCCGGGCUUGAAAGUUACUGAAGCAUCCAGAGACGGAUGCGUCCUUCGGGACAGGAAACUAGGUGCUGCAUGGCCGUCGUCAGCUCGUGCCGUGAGGUGUUGGGUUAAGCCCCGCAACGAGCGCAACCCCUAUGUUUAGUUGCCAGCACGUCAAGGUGGGGACUCUAAACAGACUGCCUGCGCAAGCAGAGAGGAAGGCGGGGACGACGUCAAGUCAUCAUGGCCCUUACGUCCGGGGCUACACACGUGCUACAAUGGAUGGUACAGCGGGCAGCUACACAGCAAUGUGAUGCCAAUCUCGAAAAGCCAUUCACAGUUCGGAUCGGGGUCCGCAACUCGACCCCGUGAAGUUGGAUUCGCUAGUAAUCGCGUAUCAGCAAUGACGCGGUGAAUACGUUCCCGGGCCUUGUACACACCGCCCGUCAAGCCAUGAAAGCUGGGGGUACCUAAAGCAUGUAACCGCAAGGAGCGUGUCAGGGUAAAACCGGUAAUUGGGGCU
rnacentral:rRNA from 1 species